GACGAACGCUGGCGGCGUGCUUAACACAUGCAAGUCGAGCGGUAAGGCCCUUUCGGGGUACGACGAGCGGCGAACGGGUGAGUAACACGUGGGUGACCUGCCCUCAGCGUCUGGGAUAAAGCCGUGGGAAAACCGGGUCCUAAUACCGGAUAUGACUCCAUGACGCAUGUUGUGGGUGGAAAGCCUUGUGCGGCUGAGGAUGGGCCCGCGGCCUAUCAGCUUGUUGGUGGGGNGAUGGCCUACCAAGGCGACGACGGGUAGCCGGCCUGAGAGGGCGACGGCCACACUGGGACUGAGACACGGCCCAGACUCCUACGGGAGGCAGCAGUGGGGAAUCUUGCGCAAUGGGCGAAAGCCUGACGCAGCGACGCCGCGUGAGGGAUGACGGCC
rnacentral:rRNA from 1 species